GCUUAAGUAGUUUAAAAAGAAUUUUGGGUUGUGGUCUCAAAGGUGCAGUUUAUAAGAUUGUCUUGAGUC